AACAGGGAUUGCCUUAGUAGCGGCGAGUGAAGCGGCAAAAGCUCAAAUUUGAAAUCUGGCGCCUUCGGUGUCCGAGUUGUAAUUUGAAGAUUGUAACCUUGGGGUUGGCUCUUGUCUAUGUUUCUUGGAACAGGACGUCACAGAGGGUGAGAAUCCCGUGCGAUGAGAUGCCCAAUUCUAUGUAAGGUGCUUUCGAAGAGUCGAGUUGUUUGGGAAUGCAGCUCUAAGUGGGUGGUAAAUUCCAUCUAAAGCUAAAUAUUGGCGAGAGACCGAUAGCGAACAAGUACAGUGAUGGAAAGAUGAAAAGAACUUUGAAAAGAGAGUGAAAAAGUACGUGAAAUUGUUGAAAGGGAAGGGUUUGAGAUCAGACUCGAUAUUUUGUGAGCCUUGCCUUCGUGGCGGGGUGACCCGCAGCUUAUCGGGCCAGCAUCGGUUUGGGCGGUAGGAUAAUGGCGUAGGAAUGUGACUUUACUUCGGUGAAGUGUUAUAGCCUGCGUUGAUGCUGCCUGCCUAGACCGAGGACUGCGAUUUUAUCAAGGAUGCUGGCAUAAUGAUCCCA
rnacentral:rRNA from 1 species